CACGUAGGGCGCGAGCGUUGUCCGGAAUUAUUGGGCGUAAAGAGCUCGUAGGCGGCCUGUUGCGUCCGCUGUGAAAGCCCGGGGCUUAACCCCGGGUCGGCAGUGGAUACGGGCAGGCUAGAGGUAGGUAGGGGAGACUGGAAUUCCUGGUGUAGCAGUGAAAUGCGUAGAUAUCAGGAGGAACACCAAUGGCGAAGGCAGCUCGCUGGGACGUGACUGACGCUGAGACGCGAAAGCGUGGGGAGCAAACAGG
rnacentral:rRNA from 1 species